AGCUAAAAAAAGAAGUGAAGUGGAACUGAAUGGGAGGCACAUGGAUGAUCAAAAUGAAGAUAGUUCAGACGAUGAAGUUGUAACAGAGAAUGCAAUGUAUGAAUCGGCUUCAAAUGUUGGUCAGAAGAAGCUUGUAGAUGAUAAUGUUUAUGCCAAACCACAGAAAAAGUCAGUAGCAAAUACAGAUGUUUACGCUGUUGUCAACAAAACAAAGAAACA